rfam:Coccidioides immitis H538.4 supercont1.43 genomic scaffold, whole genome shotgun sequence.
GGCAAGGUGGCCGAGUGGUUAUGGCGUUGGUUUUAGGUAAUAUAUCACCAAUGGGAAACCGCGUGGGUUCGAAUCCCACCCUUGUCA